CGGUAGGUGAGGUUUCUGGAAUGAUAUGAAAAGCUCGUGUUUUGUCGUGUCUCGAAGUGUGGAGGUGCGGUGCUCAUAGGAUUGUAAGCACUUGACUGGGCAUAAGAGCGGUCUGUCGGGGAACGCUGGGUAUGACACCGACUUCGAGGACGUCUUCGUUCUGCGAGAGAUAUCGAAGGAGACCCCCUCUGGGGUGUAAGGGCGUGCGGUAAUGUCCAGAGCUCUGACAUCGGAUACCCUUUUGCAAGAUAUGAGGCAGAGGAGUAUAGCCAGCUUGGCCGACAAUUGUUUCAGGGACAGCUGCGCAUUGUCCGGCCAUGAUUCAAUGAAUUUGAGGACGAUGGAGACGUCCUAUAGCAUCGAAUAUCG